rnacentral:rRNA from 1 species
GACAGAGGUGGCAAGCGUUGUUCGGAAUUACUGGGCUUAAAGGGCGCGUAGGCGGUGGAGUAAGUCUGAGGUGGAAGAUCAGGGCCUAACCCUGAAAUUGCCUUGGAAACUGCAUCACUUGAGUCAGCGAGGGGAUGGCGGAAUUCCAGGUGUAGCGGUGAAAUGCGUAGAUAUCUGGAGGAAGGCCGGUGGCGAAGGCGGCCAUCUGGCGCUGAACUGACGCUGAGGCGCGAAAGCGUGGGGAGCAAAC